UUGGUUUGCGUCCUGCAUGAGC
rnacentral:misc_RNA from 1 species